AAGCCAUGAUGAGGACAAGCAUUGAUGGCCUCCAUAUACCUUUCCCAACAUUCAUAAAACUUCUCAUUUUCUUUUGUAGAAAAGUUUGAGAUUUAUCUCUUCAACCC
rnacentral:snoRNA from 1 species